rnacentral:tRNA from 2 species
GGUCGAAUGCCCGAGUGGUUAUGGGGCUGGCUUCAAUCCAGUUUUUCCUGGGUUCGAAUCCCAGUUCGACCA